UAAACAGACUUAGUGGGUAUUAAAAUGUUGGUCAAUCUUCUGCCGUCUUGAUUUAAAAGCACUUCUCUUUUACUAUUGUAAGACGGAAUAUGCAUGCAAGAUCGCUUUAGUUGGUUGAAUGUCUCUUUCUUUGUGUUGUGGUUUGUUCGUUUUUUUCUAAUUUGGAAUAUUAUAAGAAACGUUGUUUUCUUGCAACAUUUUGAAAUGGUCAUUCAAAAAGCUGGAUUCGGUACCACUUUUCUUUUUACCUUGUCUUCUAAGCUCUGUUAAAUUUCUUGAUGGGGUCCAGUUAAACCAACCCCCAAGUUGGUUUAUGUGAGCCUUGUCUCUUUUUUGGAUGAAUAGUAGCUUAGAUAGUGAUAGUUAUUAUUAUGACUGAUGGAAUCUACUUAAAAAUGGAUUCCAUUUUUUGUCUACUGUAAUUGAAUUCUUUUUGGUACACUUUUUGGCUGCAUUGUUAUCCUUGAAAGCACUUACAAUGUUUAAACUUUGCGAAUGACUGAAACAG
rnacentral:snRNA from 1 species